AUUCUUCGCCUUUGUUACAGGCCCCACUGUGUACAUGUCUCAGCGAUUGUUAAUAUUAAUUUGAGUUCGUUGACAUGUCUGAAUUUAACAUAAACCAUGGACAAAACCAAUGUACCUAUCCGUAUGCUAUCCGUCUCAGUCUUAUGUCAAAUAUUUAAGACAACUAAACGUCAUCAAGUGGCUUAAUUAAUGAUUUGGAUGAAUAAAAACAACCAAAUUCGUGCUGUAAAAUGCUGCUUCGGGUCAUAUUAGCCAGGAAUCGUAUUAUCUUUUCGUCGAUACUCUUAAAUCAUACAAAGACAUGUCCGGCAGCAAAAAAAGAUCCUUGCGCGUCACAAGACAAAGUUAAGAGAUGUCCGUCGGGCAGCGGAGCAAAGAAAGAGGCAGGAGGCUCAGGCCAUUCAGGUCCUGGCCUCACACGGAACAUGUACUCUGGCCGCGUGCGCUUUGGCUUCCUUCCUGACGAAUGGUUCAAAUUCUUUUACAAACAAACCGGAGUCACAGGCCCUUACCUAUUCUUUUUUAACCUUGCCAAUUACUUGUUGAGCAAAGAAAUCUACGUCAUGGAACACGAGUACUACUUGGGGCUCUCCGCAUUAGUAGUUAUAGUUUAUGUCACUAAAUCUUUCGGAAAAGAUAUAGGCGCCAGUUUUGACAAGCAAGUGGAUGAGUACGCUGCUGAUUUGGAAAAAGGCCGAAAGAUGGAUUUGAAUUACUUUAAUGAAGCGAUAAAGUCUGCUAAAGAUGCUCAGCGUCGUGCCGAGGGGCAAAAGAUGUUGAUGGACGCGAAAAAAGAAAACGUUGCCAUGCAGUUGGAAGCGAUCUAUCGAGAGAGGGCAAUGGCGGUGUACCGCAGCGUUCGGGGCCGCAUGGACUACCACAUCAAGCGCUACCAGGCCGAGGCCCGCAUCCACCAGAAGUGGAUGCUGGGUUGGAUAUUGCGAGAAGUACAGAAGUCCAUUACGCCCGAGUUCCAGAAGCAGGCUUUGCAAAGCGCUAUUAGUGACUUGGCAGCUGCUGCUAGUAGAGCCUAAUGUCGGUAGGUCUAGUAUAUCCAAACCAAUCUCUGUACAAUUAUAUUGUUACACGUAACUUCACGGUGUUCGUUUUAUUAUUAUUGAAGUCGAAUUCCACCUGUAUUUAAUUAAAAGUAUUUACAUACAUAUAUACGUCUAGGCGUUGCAGAUUACCAAGAAUUAAUACUUAAAAAAUAUCAUAAAUGUCAGCUUUAUGUUUAAGUAUUUUAAUUACAGUAGCUAAUUUAAUAUAUGUGAGAUCGGAUGACCCCAUUGCAAAGCCCGAAGGAAAUUCUAGUAGUCCUUCGGUUUAUGUAGCUGUGAUUAGUAAUGACAAAAAAACUACUACUACCGAAGUAACAUUAUACCCGCCGUUGAGUGUCUUUGGCUUCGAUGUCCAGUGUAAAUUUCAACCGGAUUCAUACGAAUGUUCAAAGCCUCAUAGAUUUAUCAACAGGUGGUACUUCGAUACCAAGAUGGAAGAUUGCAAGAGUUUUAAAUGGUUCCGAUGCAAAUCUAACAAUCAGAAUAAUUUUGCAACCUAUGGUGAAUGCAGAGAAUUCUGUCAAGGCAA